UUCGAAUCCUAGCAAAAAGUUGGAUUGAAUGAAUGUUGGAAUGGAAGGUAUUUCUCUAAUGGGGGUAUUUACCUAAAUCUACGCGGUAUUAUAAAAUACCUAUUUUUUUUUUUUUUGUAGAUAGGCGAAAUGGCAAAACCAUUAUAAACUCACACACAUAAGCGGAGAUGUCGGGGUUCGAACCCCGAUCGAGACGUCUGACCUAACAAUUUUGGCAUUUUAUCAUUUGAGCUAGGACUUGCAGACAAAUACCUCUCUUUUUGGUACUUGGCAUGGUUUUUUUUUUUACUAAUUAUGUCCUAUUUGUAUAUGUUUAUUCCCAAAUCAUCAUUUACACUGUGUUUGGAACAAGAGAGAUAGAAGAGAGAGAGAGCAAUGUGAUAGAGAAAUAGGGGAGAGAGAGUAAAGCUAUUGUGUUUGGAAGAAGAGAGAUACAAGAGAAAAAGGCUAGAAGUUGAUGGGUCCCACAUAAAAAUCAAUCUCUCCAUUGUGGAGAGAAAGCCCGGAGAAAGAGCACCAAC
rnacentral:lncRNA from 1 species